GUUACGUUGACAACACUGUUCUCGGCCAUUUUGUCAGUUGUAGAAAGUUGACGCGUGUAUUUUACAGAAAGCGUGGAAAAGACUAAUAACUACCUAAAAAUAAGGUUAAAAGAUGAAUGCCGCAGAGAGAAAGAGGAAAUCUCGAGAGAAGAUGAAGAAGGACAAGGAUAAAUGGAACUUAGUCCAAGAAAAACAAAAAGAGUGGGAUAGAAAACGGAGAGAAAAAAAUAGACGUGAAUGUGACGAAAAUGAUAAAAAGGGAGAAUCUUU